rnacentral:rRNA from 1 species
GACGAACCGUGCGAACGUUAUUCGGAAUCACUGGGCUUAAAGCGCGUGUAGGCGGGUCGGUGCGUCGGCGCCUGAAAUCCCCCGGCUCAACCGGGGAACGCGGCCCGAAACGACCGGCCUCGAGGGACGUAGGGGGGACUGGAACUUCCGGUGGAGCGGUGAAAUGCGUUGAGAUCGGAAGGAACGCCCGUGGCGAAAGCGCAGUCCCUGGACGUCUGCCUGACGCUGAGACGCGGAAAAGCCCAGGGGG